rnacentral:rRNA from 1 species
AGAUUGAACGCUGGCGGCAUGCCUAACACAUGCAAGUCGAACGGCAGCACAGCAGAGCUUGCUCUGUGGGUGGCGAGUGGCGGACGGGUGAGUAAUGCAUCGGGACCUACCUGAACGUGGGGGAUAACCUCGGGAAACCGGGACUAAUACCGCAUACGUCCUACGGGAGAAAGCGGGGGACCUUCGGGCCUCGCGCGGUCAGACGGACCGAUGUGCGAUUAGCUAGUUGGUAAGGUAAUGGCUUACCAAGGCGACGAUCGCUAGCUGGUCUGAGAGGAUGAUCAGCCACACUGGGAUUGAGAACGGCCCAGACUCCUACGGGGGGCAGCAGUGAGGAAUUUUCGUCAAUGGGGGCAACCCUGAACGAGCAACGCCGCGUGCAGGAAGAAGGUUUUCGGAUCGUAAACUGCUUUUCUCGGGGAAGAGAACGGACGGUACCCGAGGAAUCAGCCCCGGCUAACUACGUGCCAGCAGCCGC